rnacentral:lncRNA from 1 species
UCGAGGACGAUGUAAGAGACGCGAACCUGUAUGCAGAGAGCGCGGAGGCGUUAUUACAUUUCAUUCUCUCUCUAGAUCUCUCUCUCCUCAUUUGUUCUCGGUAAGAAUCAAUGGCGAACGGUCGCCGCUCCUUGCUCUCUUCACUUUUUCUAGCAAUCAUGGAGAAACAAUCAACGAAAUGAAAUUAACAGAAUCAUCAAAAGUAAAGGAGAUUUAGUGAAGCUUUAACAGAAAACCCUAAAAAAAAUCAAAAAUUAACCUAGAGUGAGACGAUGAGGCGGUGAAUGACGACGAUGUAAGAGAGGCGAACCUGUCUACAGCGAGAGUGGAGGCGGCGAGGCGCUAUUACGUUUCCUUCUCUCUCUAGAUCUCUCUCUCUCUCUCUUUCUCCUCCUUUCUUCUCGGUAAGAAUCAAUGGAGAUCGGUCGCCGCUCCUUGCUUUCUUCACCUUUUCUAGCCAACCGCCCUUUUCAUUUCUUCCGC